UACGUAGGGCGCAAGCGUUGUCCGGAAUUACUGGGCGUAAAGGGUGCGUAGGCGGCUUUCUAAGUUGGAUGUGAAAACUCUGGGCUCAACCCAGAGACUGCAUCCAAAACUGGAGAGCUUGGGUUCUGGAGGGGAAAGCGGAAUUCCCUGGUGUAGUGGUGGAAUGCGUAGAUAUCGGGAGGAACACCAGUGGCGAAGGCGGUUGCCUGGAGCUUUGCUGACGCUGAUGCGCGAAAGCGUGGGGAGCGAUCCGG
rnacentral:rRNA from 1 species